rnacentral:lncRNA from 1 species
GCCGACUGGAGCGCGCGGGCGGGCGGCGCGGACUGCGAGCUCUACCCCGGGUGCGGGCGCGGGGCGCUGCGCCCACCUUAACCCCCGCCGCGCCGGGCCCCGGGAUGAAAGCGCUCCAGGGCUGGGAUUCUGCGCGGCUGGUCCAGGAACCGCACCGGGCUCCACGCUCCCCGAUACCCAGAAGUUGCCAAACCCCGCCCGGAGGAGCGAACUGCGAUCCCACCCCAGGCAGCAGAACCAGCCUGGGCUCCGCGCCUGGGUGGCUGAGGUCCCGUGGACCUGCGCGGGAAGACAGCAUGCCCUUCUGCUCUCCUGACCUCUAAGACCCUUGCCCCCGCCCCACUCCCGGGACUGACAAAUCUGAAUUUCUUCUUAUGGAACAACAUGCAAAACAGCCCUCGUUAUUCAUGCAUCUUAUUGUAAUAAAGAGCAAAAGCUGGGAAAAACACAUGGAGAUGCUAAAAAGUGGUAGACUGAUCUUCAUAAAAUCUGUCUAUGGCUUUGUGAUCACAGGAAGAGCACCAUAACCGCGCUACCCAGGGAUGGGAUGUGUGUUCUUCCAGGCCGGUCUCUUGGAGCUUUCCUUGGACCCCUCGUUAUUCUUGUUCCUGCUCCGCCUGGCAGAAAGCAUCUCUCACUGCGUGGCUCUCAUCCUUGUAUCCUAAUUUAAUGGUUGCUAUGUGCAUCUGCUCGACUGUAUUCUUUCUCAGACCCUUUUGUUAAAUUAGACUGGGCUCUGCACAAUUGACAGAAUGAAAUGUAAUUCAAAAAUAAGCAUUAAGCUCUUAGCGUUUAUUACUUUUGUGCCGACGGAUACUAAGAGGUACUACCUGCUCUCGGUUCAGGACUGAGCACAAACACAUACUGACCCAGCCCCCACUGUAAAGUGGGGGUUAAGGUGGGCACAGCGCCCCGCACCAGCACCCCGG